UAUAUUACAUCAUCAAGACAAAGAGAUAACAAUACCAAUGGCAUCUCGCGUAUAUACAGAAAGUGUAUAGAAAAUAUAGGCGGGAGAAAUUUCAGAAAAGAGGUUUGAGAAAGCGAGAAACGCAUGAUUGUGGGCAUUCCAAUAUGUUUGGAAACGUGAAUGCGCACAAACUAAUGUUCGGAUCGUAUUUAUGCUCCUUUCGGCGAAAUGCAAAUGUGUUAAAAGAUGUAUAAAAAGAGAGACGCGUAUGCACAUAGUAAAAUGAAUUUCCAGGAAUUAGCAUAUAUUAAAAUCCAUUUUACUGUGUUUUCUCGUGUUUUCAAGUCGGACAUUUAAAAUUAUCUCAAAUAGAAACCUAUCAUGUAUCGGAUAUUAAAAUUACAUCAUAGAAUGCUAAAGUUUCACCACUGAUAUGCGUGAAAUAUCAAUGCACACUAUUACUACGAGAUAUACUAAAUAGUUUCGAUUAUUGUUUUUAAAUGUUAAUUUAAAUUUCGCAAAAAAAUGUUAAUGUAGAAGUUUAAAUUCGUUAUGGGUUUAUUUCAUCACAUGAUACAUCGUUAUUUUUGGUUGACCAGUUAAGUGUAUAUCAUAUACAUUUUAUACAGAGAAUGGACCAAGAAUUCUCAAGUACCAAAAGAGCUCUUUAAUUAUUCCACAUGCGCGAGUGUGUGUUUGCAUUCACAAUGUGCGCAAAAAAUGAACAGGUUUUCACAAAAAGACUCUUAUAAUAUACAUUCUUGUAGCAAUAAGCAAAUAUGCAUGAGAGUUAAGCAGAAUGCAGUCAAAGUUUUUAAAUAUCUCGCAUUUUUCUUACUAAUAAAUUAAACAUUUGACGUUUCUUUUAAAUGUAUUAAACUUAACAUUGAAAUUUAGACAGGAAUCAAGACGGAAAUAGGAAGAGAUGUCUGAAUAUAAUAAGAGAAACUGUACGAUACAUGAUCAAUGGAGAUUCGAAGAUAUUAAAAAUGAUGUGCAAGAGCUGACAUACAGAGAGAAAGUAGCACCUGCGAAGAUUCUUCCCAGUGACCUUAUAAUCGAUAACAACCCGAAAACAUAACGAUGCAUAACAUAAAUUAUCAAGAGAGGUGCCCGCGAUCAUGGAUGUCAAAAAGAUUCGUUUAAUGGUAAAGUGGAAAGUGAAGGUACACGUACCAGUGCACGUUGGCAAUGACGUUGUUUUCUUGCUCAGAUUGUUAAUUAUAUACUUCUUUGUUCGUGCGUACAAUAUUAUUGAUAAAAAUAUUGGCCAUGAAGAGAGGAGUAAAAAGAGAAAAGAGUAUGCCGGAGAAUGCUCCUUGAAGGAUACCAUCGACCCAAAGAAAAGAAGCAAAAAUAACACGUUAAUGACGAUAUGCUAGAAUUGAUCAGACGUAAUUCCAAGGAAUUAACAAGAAGCCAGACGUCGAAGCAAUAUAUAUAAGAAUCUAAUGUUAGACAAUCGUCUUGGAAUUUCGCAAUUUUUGGAAAGUAACUCUGUUGCUAAGUGUGGACGAUACGUCAAGAAUUGCUAUGCGAGUAACAAAAGGAAUUUUAUUAUCAGUAUCAACAAAAAUUUAAAUUAAAAUUUCGCAAUAUCCGGAAAACGGUUAUUAUAUGUUAAGUAACAAAGAAAUAUCAGAGAGAAAUGUCGCGCGGCGCCAAGCGAGAAUUUAAACAGUUUCUCUCAUUUUCCGACUUUCCCAUGCGGAUGGAUAUAAUCCGAUUUAUCAGAACAGGAACAAAUUAACAGAGAGAAAGGUGAUCGAUGUCGGGAAUAAGCGAGG